rnacentral:rRNA from 1 species
CCUACGGGUGGCAGCAGUGGGGAAUAUUGCGCAAUGGGCGAAAGCCUGACGCAGCGACGCCGCGUGAGGGAUGAAGGUCUUCGGAUCGUAAACCUCUGUCAGCAGGGAAGAACGGUCACUGUGCUAAUCAGCAGUGCAUUGACGGUACCUGCAAAGGCAGCACCGGCUAACUCCGUGCCAGCAGCCGCGGGAAUACGGAGGGUGCGAGCGUUAAUCGGAAUUACGGGGCGUAAAGCGCUCGUAGGCGGGAUGUCAAGUCAAGGGUGAAAUCCCCGCGCUCAACGUGGGAACUGCAUUUGAAACUGGCAAACUGGAGUGUGUGAGAGGAUAGUGGAAUUCCAGGUGUAGGAGUGAAAUCCGUAGAUAUCGGGAGGAACACCAGUGGCGAAGGCGACUAUCUGGAACAUAACUGACGCUGAGGAGCGAAAGCGUGGGUAGCAAACAGGAUUAGAUACCCGAGUAGUC